rnacentral:rRNA from 1 species
AGGAACCUGCCUCAAANAGGGGGACAACAGUUGGAAACGACUGCUAAUACCGCAUAAGCCCACGGAUCCGCAUGGAUCUGCGGGAAAAGGAUUUAUUCGCUUCAGGAUGGACUCGCGUCCAAUUAGCUAGUUGGUGAGGUAACGGCCCACCAAGGCGACGAUUGGUAGCCGGACUGAGAGGUUGAACGGCCACAUUGGGACUGAGACACGGCCCAGACUCCUACGGGAGGCAGCAUG